AGAACGAACGCUGGCGGCAGGCCUCAAACAUGCAAGUCUAGGGGGUGUAGCAAUACAUCACCGGCGGACGGGUGCGUAACGCGUGGGAAUGUACCUACUGGUUCGGAACAACUGCGGGAAACUGCAGCUAAUACCGAAUGUGCCCGCAAGGGGAAAGAUUUAUCGCCAGUAGAUCAGCCCGCGUAGGAUUAGCUAGUUGGUGGGGUAAUGGCCCACCAAGGCUCCGAUCCUUAGCUGUUCUGAGAGGAAGAUCAGCCACACUGGGACUGAGACACGGCCCAGACUCCUACGGGAGGCAGCAGUUGGGAAUCUUGGACAAUGGGGGAAACCCUGAUCCAGCCAUGCCGCGUGAGUGAUGAAGGCCUUCGGGUUGUAAAACUCUUUCGACGGGGACGAUAAUGACGGUACCGUAGAAGAAGCUCCGGCUAACUUCGCGCCAGCAGCCGC
rnacentral:rRNA from 1 species